rnacentral:rRNA from 1 species
CGCUUCUUUUUCCACCGGAGCUUGCUCCACCAGAAAAAGAGGAGUGGCGAACGGGUGAGUAACACGUGGGUAACCUGCCCAUCAGAAGGGGAUGACACUUGGAAACAGGUGCUAAUACCGUAUAACAAUCGAAACCGCAUGGUUUUGAUUUGAAAGGCGCUUUCGGGUGUCGCUGAUGGAUGGACCCGCGGUGCAUUAGCUAGUUGGUGAGGUAACGGCUCACCAAGGCCACGAUGCAUAGCCGACCUGAGAGGGUGAUCGGCCACAUUGGGACUGAGACACGGCCCAAACUCCUACGGGAGGCAGCAGUAGGGAAUCUUCGGCAAUGGACGAAAGUCUGACCGAGCAACGCCGCGUGAGUGAAGAAGGUUUUCGGAUCGUAAAACUCUGUUGUUAGAGAAGAACAAGGAUGAGAGUAACUGUUCAUCCCUUGACGGUAUCUAACCAGAAAGCCACGGCUAACUACGUGCCAGCAGCCGCGGUAAUACGUAGGUGGCAAGCGUUGUCCGGAUUUAUUGGGCGUAAAGCGAGCGCAGGCGGUUUCUUAAGUCUGAUGUGAAAGCCCCCGGCUCAACCGGGGAGGGUCAUUGGAAACUGGGAGACUUGAGUGCAGAAGAGGAGAGUGGAAUUCCAUGUGUAGCGGUGAAAUGCGUAGA